rnacentral:rRNA from 1 species
GCCUACAAACAGUCGGAGCCCGCAAGGGUGACGACGUACCUUUUGUAUAAUGGGUCUGCGACUUAGUCUGGCGAGCAAGCUUAAGGCGAUAGCUGUAGGCGAAGCGAAAGCGAGUCUGAACAGGGCGUUCAGUUCGUCGGACUAGACCCGAAACCAGUCGAUCUAUCCAUGGCCAGGUUGAAAGCAGGGUAACACCUGCUGGAGGACCGAACCGGUGCCUGUUGAAAAAGUCUCGGAUGAGCUGUGGAUAGGGGUGAAAGGCCAAUCAAGGCUGGAAAUAGCUGGUUCUCCGCGAAAUCUAUUUAGGUAGAGCCUCGAGUGAAUACCCCAGGGGGUAGAGCACUGGAUGGGCUAGGGGCCCCCACAGGGUUACCAAACCUAACCAAACUCCGAAUACCUGGGAGUACUGCUCGGGAGACACACGGCGGGUGCUAACGUCCGUCGUGAAAAGGGAAAAACCCUAGACCGACAGCUAAGGUCCUCAAGUCACGGCUAAGUGUGAAAGGAUGUGGAAAUCCCAUAACAACCAGGAGGUUGGCUUAGAAGCAGCCA